rnacentral:rRNA from 1 species
CCUACGGGAGCAGCAGUGGGGAAUAUUGCACAAUGGGGGAAACCCUGAUGCAGCGACGCCGCGUGAGUGAAGAAGUAAUUCGUUAUGUAAAGCUCUAUCAGCAGGGAAGAAAAUGACGGUACCUGAGUAAGAAGCCCCGGCUAACUACGUGACAGCAGCCGCGGUAAUACGGAGGGGGCAAGCGUUAUCCGGAUUUACUGGGUGUAAAGGGAGCGUAGACGGCAGUGCAAGUCUGGAGUGAAAGGCGGGGGCUCAACCCCCGGACUGCUCUGGAAACUGUACGGCUGGAGUGCAGGAGAGGUAAGUGGAAUUCCUAGUGUAGCGGUGAAAUGCGUAGAUAUUAGGAGGAACACCAGUGGCGAAGGCGGCUUACUGGACUGUAACUGACGUUGAGGCUCGAAAGCGUGGGGAGCAAACAGGAUUAGAUACCCCAGUAGUC